rnacentral:rRNA from 1 species
GGCGGACGGCUGAGUAAUGCCUAGGAAUCUGCCUGGUAGUGGGGGAUAACGUUCGGAAACGGACGCUAAUACCGCAUACGUCCUACGGGAGAAAGCAGGGGACCUUCGGGCCUUGCGCUAUCAGAUGAGCCUAGGUCGGAUUAGCUAGUUGGUGGGGUAAUGGCUCACCAAGGCGACGAUCCGUAACUGGUCUGAGAGGAUGAUCAGUCACACUGGAACUGAGACACGGUCCAGACUCCUACGGGAGGCAGCAGUGGGGAAUAUUGGACAAUGGGCGAAAGCCUGAUCCAGCCAUGCCGCGUGUGUGAAGAAGGUCUUCGGAUUGUAAAGCACUUUAAGUUGGGAGGAAGGGCAGUUACCUAAUACGUGAUUGUCUUGACGUUACCGACAGAAUAAGCACCGGCUAACUCUGUGCCAGCAGCCGCGGUAAUACAGAGGGUGCAAGCGUUAAUCGGAAUUACUGGGCGUAAAGCGCGCGUAGGUGGUUUGUUAAGUUGGAUGUGAAAUCCCCGGGCUCAACCUGGGAACU